GGGCGGCGGGCGGGCGCCGCCGGAGAAGCGGAGCCCCGAGGCGCUGCGAGCGGAACCGUCCGGCCACUGCUGCCGCCGCGCGCCAGGCCAGGAGCGGUGACGCGGAGCGCACGGAGGGACGGCGACGCCAGCACGCCCCGAUAAAGCCUGGAACUGAAACAGCACGUACCAGAUUUGCAGCUGUUAGGCUGAAAAGAUCUAAAUGAAGACUGAAAAGCAUCCUUGUCCUAGGAAUAUUGUGCACCAAGUACAGGAGGGGAGAGAAUGAGCAGAGAGAAUACAGGAGUCAUCACUUCUGCAUGCAGACUGUUUGAAUUAAUCUUUAUCUCUAAGCCUCUAUGAACGAAUAGACUGUACCAGUAGUUUAUCAUGCUAUAAUAUCAUAUAUAAUUCAGAUUGGAAUAGGUUAAUCCAACAAGCCACUAAAACCAAAAGGCAGAAUAGUAAAUUGCCUGUUGAGUUAUGACUGUCGCCUCAGUUAAACUACGGUUACAGCUACAGUUUAACAUGGUGACAUCAAGAUAAGUCAGUUCAUCAGUAUUACACGGCAGGUUGAAUCUUGAGGUUCUUGAUUCCUGAAGCUGAAACGUGGCUGAAUUAAAAGCCCUCGAAAGUUUGGUUGGAAAGCAUCCAUGGAUGAAGUAAACUGCUGCUUUCUUAAGGUGCUGAGGCUGGAGGAUGGCGAGGAGAUGAGGCAAAAAUGAACCCAGAGUGAGCUGGGGGUGAAAGCCUGCGGUUUACUUUGAGAUGGUUUAAUGAGGGACCAAACUGGCUGUUGGUUGUGGCUGUUGGGCUCCUGGUUGUGUUUAAAAACCGAGACUGUGAUUAGUGUUUAUACCAAUACAGAAGCAUGGUGUGUGGAGAGGGUACAUUUGAAUUUAAUGACAUUAUUGCUUAAUUGUAGUUCACUGCAUGCUGGAAACUGUGGAGUCCGUUGGUGCUUUUAAAGAUAAUCAUGGAGGUGCAUAUGCAGGCUACGCUACAGAGCUCCUAAAGGCUGUUUUUUGUGUAAGCCAUGUUUUGUGAGAGUUUUCUCUCUUAAAUCUGGGCUAGCGCAGAGAAAUGGCGCUCUGACUCAUUGCUCUUUGCUGUUGUGCAUCCAAUCUGAAAUUUUAAAAGGUAACACUUCAGAAAACUGGAACACGUUCUCUGGAAAUGUUGCUGCUUUAGCAUUUUCAUGCAUAUUUAGAAGCUAGAAUUUGCAGAACAUACUUAGCCAUAAGAAGCUCUCCAAGAGAACAAACGUGGGUGAAUUUAACUUUGAAAAAGAUGCUUUCUCCUUGCUUCCGUGAGCUGGAAUGUUGAAGGUGAUUAUCUUGAAGAGGUGCUAGUAAAGGUUCCUGAUGAUUACAAGUGUAAAACUGACGCAUGCAGCAGUUUGGGUGUUGGUAGAAAUAACAGUCCUGACUCAAAAUCAUUUGCUUUGCCAGAGGAUUUUCCUUGAAAUUCGUUUCAAUUCCAAGACAAACCAGCGCUGGGAUUUGAUAACGAGAGGGGACUGAAAACAAGCUGCUGCGGAAAGGAACGAACUGAUUGGUCUCUGCAAAAUCCCAGCCCUGGAGAUAGAGCUGGGAAGUGUCACUGUGACGUGAGGGCUUCGGAGCCAAUCGAGCCGAGUGCGAGGCAGCUUUGCAAAACCGCCGCUUCAGCUGACAGGGUUGGAUGUGAAAAGAAAAAAUGCGUAUUUUUAUCCUAGGAUAAAACAAUUCAGGUUGGGGGAAUACGAGUGUGAGGUGGAGACUGGAUGUUCUCGACAGAGAACGCUGAGGGAAUGCUCACACGUGAUGUGGCUGUGUAAUGAGUGCUGUGCUUAGCAAUAUAUUAAUAUAUUAUAGAAUAAAUGCAAUCAAUACA